AAAAGACAGAAAAACUUUGAUUCGGCUACAUAUUUAAUAGUAUAAACUAAAAGACACACACACAUAUACAUACAAAUAUAUAAAAUUGAUGUUAUUUUCUCCUCCAUACUCUUUUCAGGAGCUUUAGUGGUGAUAUCUGUAAAUGAACUAAAGCUACUUUUUUAUUUUUGCUCCAAGUUAUAUGUGCUGAAAUGUACAAGUUUCAUAUGAAACAUUUGAAUUUCCACCUAUUUUGGAGAUAAUGAUGAUAUCAAGAAGCUUGAGGAGGAAAAGAUAUUGAAUUCACCCUAUUUGGAGUAUUACAUUGCAAUAUUGAAGAAAGUUUUGGAACAGAUUCAAGUGCUCUGCCUAACUUUAUGGCUCAGCAGAGGAAACAAAAAGGAAAAUGGAGGAGAAACAAGAGCUGCAGAUCUAUGUCAUUCCAUGGUGACUCUGGAUUCAUUUCUUUCUAGAUGUAUUGGAAAAGAGGCUCAAUGAGCCUACACUUGAUUUAUCAUAUCUUCCAAAGCAUACUUGUAAACCUUAAUAAUAUAAAAAAGACCUUUUUUAUUUUCUCUGUAAA